rnacentral:rRNA from 1 species
AUUAAACGCUGGCGGCAUGCCUUACACAUGCAAGUCGAACGGCAGCACGGGGGCAACCCUGGUGGCGAGUGGCGGACGGGUGAGUAAAGCAUCGGAACGUAUCCUGGAGUGGGGGAUAACGUAGCGAAAGUUACGCUAAUACCGCAUAUUCUGUGAGCAGGAAAGCAGGGGAUCGCAAGACCUUGCGCUCUGGGAGCGGCCGAUGUCGGAUUAGCUAGUUGGUGGGUAAAGGCCUACCAAGGCGACGAUCCGUAGCGGGUCUGAGAGGAUGAUCCGCCACACUGGGACUGAGACACGGCCCAGACUCCUACGGGAGGCAGCAGUGGGGAAUUUUGGACAAUGGGCGCAAGCCUGAUCCAGCCAUGCCGCGUGAGUGAAGAAGGCCU